GUCGUGCUUUUCGUUGCGGUUGUUCCUGUUUUUCCAUACCAUUUACCACAUCUUCCGCCUUUGACACGCCCACAGUCCUCAUCCUGGCCUUCUGCGACUGGCUGACCUUCGCCGUGUUGCGCAGGUCGCUGAUGCUCCGCCAGCUGCCCUCCAGUUCCAUGAACUGUGUAUGUAAGUAUGUAUGUAGGCCGGGGAGCGAAGGGAACAAGGGGAUGGGAGGGGUCAGGGGGUCGAUUACAAACAAAAACCCCAACCCGGGGGAGGCAGCACGAGGCAGACGGAAAGGGGGGCUGGACGGACGGGGUGGUACGGCACAGUACGGCGGCGUGGCACGGCGUUAGGGGGUGUGCGACGGCACCGGCAGGGGGUGUCCGAACGGAAGAGAAGCUCUCUCUCUCUCUCUCACACACACACACACACACACACACACACACACACACACUACAUGAGGUAGAUCGACACAGGGUGGGUCGCGCGCCCUCGGUCGAGCAGUACUAGGGGACUGUGGGGACCCCUCACGCUCCUCUCAUCCCCGCCGCUAGGGGGACAGUGCUUCGGCGGUCGUUCCCGUUGGGGUAUACGGUUAGUUGCCCCUGGCCAGUGUCAGGCCCGGAUCGUUGUGUAACAGAUACAUAUACAUACACACACAUACAUUCAUACACACAGAACGACUCAUCUUAUAACACACACACAGCACGACACGCAGAACCCCCGGGCAAUCCGCAGCCUCCUCCUAACCCAUCCACACAUUCAAACGGCCACAGCGACAUCAAGGCCCCCCUGGAGCACCAACCCCCAUAACCUCCAUAAAUAUAACCCAUUGGACCCACCAUUGGGGCUACUUAUCCCAGGCCAGGGCCCCAGCGGCCCUCAGGAUGGGCUCCGUCAGAACCCCACCAAAAACACACACGCACACGCACACGCGCACCUGGUUCACGUGGCUCUCGAUCUGCGCGGUCAGCGCCGGCAGCCAACGGUCCAG
rnacentral:lncRNA from 1 species